rnacentral:lncRNA from 1 species
CAUAUCUUCUAAUCAGACUAUUCAAACACACUCAAAUUUUACAUAAAGUAUUGAUGUACUUUAAAUAAUUAUUACAACAAAUUUCAAUUCCAAAUUCAUUGUGGAUCUUAAGAUAUCACUAAAAUCCUAACAGUGGCUUCAAAUCCUAGUUUUUAUACAUCAUCAUGCAAUUUUCUUUAUAUCUCACAAAUUAAGUACUUAAAUGCCACAAAAUUUUUAUAUAUAGCUUUUUAAUAUAAUAAUCUAUCUUCUUCAAAAGGAUUUAGCUAAAAAAUUGUCCAAAAACUCAAGAUAUGGCUCAAAUCAUUACUAUGAACAAAAUCACUUAUUUACUACCUUUGAUUUGGAUGCACUGACUUCAACCUUCUAUAAUUUCUUAUUCAAACUUUAAAUUCAUCAAAUAGUAUACAAAAAGUAUAGUUGAAAAAGUGUUCUCUCCAAUCCUAGUCGCCGAUCUUUCAUUGUUCUCUGUAAAUGUAU